rnacentral:tRNA from 1 species
GCACGUGUGGCGUAAUUGGUAGCCGCGCCAGACUUAGGAUCUGGUCCGCAAGGGUGGGGGUUCGAGUCCCUUCAUGUGUA